rnacentral:lncRNA from 1 species
UUGAAGAUCCACUUACACUCUAUGGGCUUUACCCUUCGAGUGAAUCAACGAAUAUCCAUACACCAUUGAUCUUUAUGGACUUCAUUUCGGACUCUAUAGCUCCAAGCCAUUAAUCAGAGUCGGAUCUCUGUAUGGCAUCCAUGUAGAUGAUCAAAUCGUUAUUGUUCUCAUCGAGUUCAAUAGGAUCACAUCCUAGAAUUAGAUACCAAAGUAUCUAUCCGACGGACGUGGUGCUCUAUCGGAUCUCCUUAAUGGUGCCUCUACAAUAGAUUCUAGAUUUGAUCUAAUCA